AAAGUGUCCCGUAUGCUUUUGCAUAAAUUAGCUAAGAAAGUAAUGCUAAGUGUAUGUUGUGUAGUAUGCUGUUAGUUGCCCAUGUGCCUCACCCUAAUAAUUUGGUCCAUUUUCCCCUCAUAAUUUAGCCUACUGGUAUGACUUGGUGGUGCACAUGUAGCCUGUAGCCUGUUUUAGAAAAAUGUAAUCAUUUAAUAUUGUAAGAGCUUUUAUUGUCUGCUUAUAUGCCCCCUUUAUUUAUCCUACAGUUCUGACAUGGUGUACAGGGAGAAUACUGUAAGAACGUCCCAUGUUCUGAAUUCUGUUGCUGUACAUUUCAAAAGAGCUGACCAAAUAGUUAUAUUGACUACGUCCGUCCUAGGUCGAUCAUUAAUGUCUUAAUCGAAAUUACAGAUUGCCUCUUAUCCGCUCGUCGCCCCCUUAUGCCAUAGUUUGUACAUCUCAAUUGUCAAUAGAAAUCAUAUUUGUUUAAGAAAGUAAGCCAUACCAGCUGUUUCGCUGCCAGACAAGGCUCCGAUGAUAGCCAGGUGUAACAGUGGUAAAGGACUGUUGGGACAGCUUUAUGUAGGCCCUAACAGUUUGUCGGCACCGUUUGUCACCCUUAUAGUGCAAUAAAUGUAUUGUUUAGUGUUGUGUAGUGGCUUUGUUGGCGUGCAUCAAAAACAUUUUCUCCCCAUCUUCACUACUACUGCAUCAAUAUGUUUUGACCAUGACCAUUUACAAUCUCGGGAUACUCCAAGUAGUUUAGUCAUCUCAACUUGCUCAAUUUACACAUUAUUUAUUACAAGAUUUAGUUGAAGUUUAGGGUUUAGUGAGUGUUUUGUUCCAAAUACAAUGCUUUUAGUUUUAGAAAUAUAUAGGGCUAACUUAUUCCUUGCCACUCACUCUGAAACUAACUGCAGCUCUUUGUUGAGUGUUGCAGUCAUUUCAGUCGCUGUAGUAGCUGACGUGUAUAGUGUUGAGUCAUCCGCAUACAUAGACACUCUGGCUUUACUCAAAGUCAGUGGCAUGUCGUUAGUAAAAAUUGAAAAAAGCAAGGGGCCUAAACAGCUACCCUGGGGAAUUCCUGAUUCUAACUGGAUUAUAUUUGAGAGGCUUCCAUUAAAGAACACCUUCUGUGUUCUGUUAGACAAGUAAAUCCACAUUAUAUCAGGGGGUGUAAAGCCAUAACACAUCUCAGUGUCAGCAUCGAUGGCAAAAGGUGCUCAACCCAGAGACGGGGCCAUGGACCAAGGAGGAAGAUGAGAGGGUAUGGCCCCAAGCAAUGGUCCAUCAUUACCAAGCAUCUGCACGGGCGUAUCGGCAAGCAGUGCCGGGAGGGCUGGCACAACCACCUUAACCGGACUCAGGAGGAGGACCAGAUCAUAUACGCUGCUCACAAACGUAUCGGGAACCGCUGGACCGAGGAAUCUAAGCUGCUGCCUGGCAGGAGAGACAACUCUAUUAGAAUCACUGGAACUCCACCAUGCGUAGGAAGGUGGAGCACGAGGUCUACCUGCAGGAUGUCACGACACAGAUCGACAAGACCAAGGCUCCCAUCAAGAGAAGGACCAAGUCAUCCUGCUCCUCUAGGGACUCCUGCGGAGCCAGAAUCAUUAUGCCAUGAUUAUCCCCACAAAGGUGAUCACUGAGCACCCAUCUAUGGUUUCUACCAGUCAGCACAAUCAACUAGACUGAACAAUAGCCAAGUGUUUGAAUUGAAAAUCACCAUUGAAAUCAGGAUGAAAUCAAUCCCAAACUGUUUGUUGAUUUUAUGACACUGUUUUUUUUGUGUAUGUUUUGGUAGAUUUCAGGAUAUUCCCAUGGCUUGUUGGAUGGCCAGUAUAUGGAAAGUGUUCCUGAAACUGCUUACUUUGUCCCAGUGAGUGUCCCAUCUCUGCACUCACUUAGCUUAGCUUAACCAUGUUGCAAGUGAACCCCUCCCCUACCACCAUCGUACAGUAGCUCCUAUGUAAUUCAGUAAGAGAGGAAUAAGACUUGUAAAUUAGAAAAUUAGCUGUUUUUCCUUUUCCUGACCAAUCUCUCCUGGGCUGCAUGUACCCCCGGAGUCAUUCACUGACCAAUAAAGAGCAGAGAAUUAAGGAACUCAAGCAGCUCCUUAUGGCAGCUGAGAGCGAAUCGGGAAUCGGGCAGCUUCCUGUGUAAGACAGAAGAACCCUUGUAUGUGUAGUCAAUAGUGUAGUACGCUCUAGAACACAUCCUUAUCACCCUUCCCACCAGCUCCUCAUCCUCCAUCUUACUCACCUCCGGUUAGCUGCCCCUCCUAGCUGCUACCAUCCUGUCCUUCCCUGCUUCAUACUGUAGUAUCUAGCAGUGAGUCAUCAUUAACAGCUUCUCAUAGUAGCAGUGACUGUUCAUCAUCUGUUUCUGCUCUUGCCAACUCCAUUGCUGUCAUUGUCAAACCAAACAUAAUCUCUGUUAACCUAGAGGUAAAAUCAUGCGUAAUUUGGUCAGCUGCGUGAUUCAUUUCUAAAUUAGAAAUUGAGCAUCCCGGCAAAAAUUCGCAACCCUCGCAAAAGGAAACUCUCAGCCAAAGCCCCCCCUUACCAUCCGUGUGGGCACACGCACAAAGCACUUGAGGCGAAGCAGUUUAAGCACCGCCUUUGGGUCAAUCCUGAUCCCAUUCAGUCCUGGCAGAUUCUUUCGGUCUAAUGUACACGCAGAAUCUGCCCAUGGGAGAUUAAGCCAAACAUGACCAUUUUUGUAUUUGUAUUUAUUAUGGAUCCCCAUUUGCUGCUGUCAAUGCAACAGCUACUCUCUUGGCAUGACAGUUGCAUGAGGAGUUGGCAAGGGCAGAAUCAUACUGGCACCCAGGCUAGCUGUUCAAAACACCCGUGAGGCCUCUUUGGAUAGAAGUGGACCUCUAAUGAAAAUCAUGUAGAUUUUCACUUCUGUGCAAAAAUGCACAGUUCAUGUUAAAGUUUUGGAAUUUAACUGAGGCUACUGCUCAUGUCUACCCGUAGUCUCAUUAUAUUUACAUUGGUAAAUGUACUUAUCCUGUUUAGGGCCAAGAGUUUUUCCUGGGCAGAUUAUUUCAUCUGGGAAACUCCUGGCCCUCACAUCCCUACGUCCAAGCGUUCAUAGCGACGUCACUUUUUGAUCCUUUGAUGUGGGCUCCUCCUAUCAUUGUGAAGCAGAAUUCACCAAGCGUUGGAUAGUUCACCCACUAAUAGGGAACGUGAGCUGGGAUUAGACCGUCGUGAGACUGGUUAGUUUUACCCUUUCCGGUUCUAACCUUCGUCUAGCUCUGGUCCAGGGCAUUACGUACGGCUUGCUUACGCUGAGCCUUCAGCAUCAGCAAGCUGCAUGUAACACUCUGGACCAGAGCUAACCUCUCCCUGACCUCUCGCUUGACACUAACUAUAGGACUUGGCAAGAGAGCACAAACAGAUCUGGGACCAAGCUAGCUAAAAGUCACUCAGAUAAUUUUUACCGAGAUGUAUAAUACUACUAGGCAAUCUUACUGUAGGUAGAAAACAUCAGAUUUCCUACUUCUAUUUUUACACAAAACAACCACCUGUAUUUUUUAUUUGUCUGUUUUUGCUUAGAGGUUAAUAGGAAAAUUACAUGACCACAUGUAGCCAAUGAACCAUACUGGUACUAACAUACUGGUGUAACGUCUGCUUCCAACUCACACUUUCAAAUACAUAGAUCCCCUGAACGCAGCUCACUCUCCAGAUCCCAAUCACCUAAAUUCUGAUCACCUGUUCACACACCUGUAUGUCAUUUACACACACUAUUUAGUUCAGUUCAUUGCACCCCAUCAUUGUGAGGUAUUGUUUGUUUUUGUAUACAUUCUAUUCGGAGCUCUGUUUAUUUCUGUUUUAGUCCUCCCGUGUAUCGUAGUUUUUGGCCAUCCUCACUAACAAUGUUUUUUGCCUAUUCCCUGCCUGUACAUCAGAUUUCCUGUCAUCAAUCUCUUGCCUGAUCUCCCGGACUACGUUAUUAGCUUUUUUCCCUGCCUGUACUGUUACCUUUUUGGAUUCCCUGUGUACGACCUUCUGCCUGUCCUUGGAACCUGCUACCUGCUUCCCCCUGUGGUCCUUUACUAAAUAAACACCUGCUGCGCCCUGCACUUGAAACCAGCA